AUUGAACGCUGGCGGCAGGCCUAACACAUGCAAGUCGAGCGAGCGGCGGACGGGUGAGUAAUGUAUGGGGACUGCCCGAUAGAGGGGGAUAACUACUGGCAACGGUGGCUAAUACCGCAUACUAUCGGAUAACCCAUAUGGGAUUAGCUAGUCGGUGGGGUAAAGGCUCACCUAGGCGACGAUCUCUAGCUGGUCUGAGAGGAGGAUGAGCAACAUUGGGACUGAGAAACGGCCAAGACGCCUACGGAGGCAGCAGGGGGGAAUAGGGCACAAUGGGAGAAAGCCUGAUGAAGCAAUGCCGCGUGUAGGAAGAAGGCCUGAGGGUUGUAAAGUAAUUUCAGCGGGGAGGCGUUACCCGCAGAAGAAGCACCGGCUAACUCCGUGCCAGCAGCCGCGGUAAUAC
rnacentral:rRNA from 1 species